GGUCUUAUAGUUUAUAUAAAACUUUAAAUUGCAAGUUUGAUAAUGAUUUUAAUCUAAGACUU
rnacentral:tRNA from 1 species